rnacentral:rRNA from 1 species
AGUGAACGCUGGCGGUAGGCCUAACACAUGCAAGUCGAACGGCAGCACAGUAAGAGCUUGCUCUUACGGGUGGCGAGUGGCGGACGGGUGAGGAAUACAUCGGAAUCUACUUUUUCGUGGGGGAUAACGUAGGGAAACUUACGCUAAUACCGCAUACGACCUACGGGUGAAAGCAGGGGAUCUUCGGACCUUGCGCGAUUGAAUGAGCCGAUGCCGGAUUAGCUAGUUGGCGGGGUAAAGGCCCACCAAGGCGACGAUCCGUAGCUGGUCUGAGAGGAUGAUCAGCCACGCUGGAACUGAGACACGGUCCAGACUCCUACGGGAGGCAGCAGUGGGGAAUAUUGGACAAUGGGCGCAAGCCUGAUCCAGCCAUACCGCGUGGGUGAAGAAGGCCUUCGGGUUGUAAAGCCCUUUUGUUGGGAAAGAAAAGCAGCAGGUUAAUACCCCGCUGUUCUGACGGUACCCAAAGAAUAAGCACCGGCUAACCUCGUG